UCGUUGAAAGCCGGCCCUUUUUUAUGUAGGUUUCAUCGCCGCAUGGUUGGUUCGUGCUACGCCAGCAUAUAAUGUCACGACGCGUCGUCGUGUUUUUGCGUGGUUCGAACGUGUACUUUCGCGAUUCUAAACCGAACGAACAGUACGGUAACACCUGAGAAAUUCGGACUGCUAACGGCAGUCUGUGUGUCUGUUGACAACCCUCUCUGGGUUUCGCGCGGGCCUGAGCUGUCUCUGUCCCUUUCGUCACCAUCAUGUCAACCACGUCGAUAUUGAAGAAACGUAGUCCGUCGACAUCGACCGUCGUGGUCGAGAACCGCGUGGGAUUCAAGCUGCCUUCCGCCGACGAGAUUGACGUCCAGGUGGCUUUCACGGAAGCCAACAAGUCGAACGUCAUGGACAGCAACUACAGGCAGCUGAUCAGUGUCCUCAAGUCGGCUGACACCGACGAUGAAGCGCUGGUGAGGUUGCUGAAACGCAUCAAGAACUCUGCACCGCUGAUUGAAAGGCACAAUGACGAAGUGCUGGAUUGCGUUCUGAGAAUCAACCUGCUCAGGAGGAAUGUUCACGUCAUAGACGCAUUUUCACAGCUAGCCUGCGAUAUGGUCUUCAUCCACCCCGUGAUCCUGAGGAACAUCGUCGUAGCUCUCCUAGGCACCUUCAUGUCUCCAGAAGCCACCUCAAAGGACACACCAGAGCGGGAAGAAAAAUUCCAGAGGCUUCACGCACUUCUCCGGCUGCUCUUCAAGCUUGUGCCAACGGCUCCCGCACGGCUGAUUGAGAUUCUCGCCGAGGUGUUUCCCUACAUGAAACGCGAGGGCGCCCAGCAGGCAUCCCUCGUGGGUCAUCUUCUGCGCCUGACCUCCUACAUCCCCGACCAUAGGCUGGAGUUGCUGCAGCUGCUCACCCACAAGGCGUUGCAGAUUGACCUGCACUGCCCCAAGGAUGAAAUAAAUGAAGCUGAGCUCGAAGACGAGGACGAUGCCAUGGAAGGAGGCGACAUUUUUGAAAUGGAAAAAGUCAACGGAACCGACUCGGAACGUAUGCAGCAUCCCCUUGCCGACAUUCUGGACCAGGUUCUCAAUCAGUUCUACCUGCAUUUUCAACAACACUGCAAUGCCAAAGAUGGUGAGCUGUCCAAGCUGGACUGGGAGAAGACUAAAGUGCUCUUCAAGGACUUCCUGACCAUCUUCGACAAGAUAGUCCUGCCGACGCACAAGUGCUGCCACGUCCAGUUCCUCCUCUUCUACCUGUGCAGCUUCCGGCCCGCGGCCCUGGCAGUUGCAUUCCUGGACUACCUCUGGAAGAAAGUCCAGAACCCGGCCACAUCGUGCAUCGUGCGGCAAGCGUCGGCAUUCUACAUCGGGAGCUUUCUGGCCCGGGCGAAAUAUGUGCCUCUCAGCACGGUGUGCGACUCUCUGUCCUUGAUGUGCCAAUGGGCACACGGCUACAUGGCCUCGCUGAACGACGGCGGAUUCUGUCAACCGCAGCACGAUGUCCAGCGGCACGGGACCUUCUACGCCGUCUGCCAGACGGUCUUCUACGUGUUUGCCUUCCACCACAAGGGCAUUGCAGAUGGCGAGAAAGGCCUGCAGUACCUGCGCGACCUGAACUUGGAGGCCCUCGUGAUGUGCCCGCUGAACCCCCUGAAGGCCUGCCUGCCCGGCGUGGUCAAGCAGUUCGCCUCGAUAGCACGCCACUACCAGCUUGUCUACUGCUACAGUGUCAUCGAGCGCAACCAGCGUCUUGCCCUGCCCACGGCCGGCGGGGACAGCGCACCGUACGGGGACACAGUCCUCGAUGCAUUCUUCCCGUUUGACCCCUAUGUGCUGAAGCGCACUGGCAAAUGGAUUGAUCCCCUCUACAGGAAGUUCGAGAAGUCUGACGACGAUGACGACGCAGACUUGGAUGACGAACCCGAGUGAAAAAUGCACGAGUACGACACGGACAGCGUUCUGCCACGUGCGACUGCCGGGGAAGACUGGCAGCGCCGCCUGCUUAGCGGCACAGCACCGUAGUCUCGGUCCUGGGACGAGCAAAAGUGCAAGCAGCACGGUCUGCUCGGUGCAUGGAUGAUGACGACGAACUGAUGUGCAAGUCGCCCAAGUCACCGAGCUGCGUCGCCGAAAUGUUCAGUUACGGCACGUCGCCUGGCUUCAAGCGCAGUCUAUCUUUUGGUCACCAC
rnacentral:misc_RNA from 1 species